AUUAUGCAGUGAGGGUUUGUAUAUAGGAAACAGGCAAGGAGAGGACCGAAAAAUAUGUCCCAAGUUAAUCUGAACACCUUCCUACAGUAUGGUAUGGGAAACAGCAAAAUGAAUAGGAUUGAAUGCUGGAGAUGUCACAGUAGAGACUGCUCCCUACCUUGCUCUGCAACUGGAGAGACAGUCAGAGGGAGAUGAUGGAGGUGAAAGAACUUCAGGCUGCUUCCGCAUUUCAGGAGUAUGAAAUUUAACAAGGUUCAGAGAAGAUGAAAAGUUAGCACUGUGUGGAGAGAACAGGCAGAAGAAAGAAGAGAAUCACUGUGUGGGGACUGUGGCAUACUUUGUGCAGAAGUCUUCAUUUUAUCUGUUAUAUGGAGUAAGCAACCAGAUU